rnacentral:piRNA from 1 species
UCCAAGCGAUGAUCUGAGAGGGGAAGUC